rnacentral:rRNA from 1 species
GUGGGGAAUAUUGGGCAAUGGGCGAAAGCCUGACCCAGCAACGCCGCGUGAAGGAAGAAGGUUUUCGGAUCGUAAACUUCUAUCCUUGGUGAAGAUAAUGACGGUAGCCAAGAAGGAAGCCCCGGCUAACUACGUGCCAGCAGCCGCGGUAAUACGUAGGGGGCAAGCGUUGUCCGGAAUGAUUGGGCGUAAAGGGCGCGUAGGCGGCCCGGUAAGUCUGAAGUGAAAGUCCUGCUUUUAAGGUGGGAAUUGCUUUGGAUACUGUCGGGCUUGAGUGCAGGAGAGGUAAGCGGAAUUCCCGGUGUAGCGGUGAAAUGCGUAGAGAGCGGGAGGAACACCAGUGGCGAAGGCGGCUUACUGGACUGUAACUGACGCUGAGGCGCGAAAGUGUGGGGAGCAAACAGGAUUAGAAACCCCGGUAGUCC